UACGUAGGGGGCUAGCGUUGUCCGGAAUCAUUGGGCGUAAAGCGCGUGUAGGCGGCCCGGUAAGUCCGCUGUGAAAGUCGGGGCUCAACCCUCGGAUGCCGGUGGAUACUGUCGGGCUCGAGUGCGGAAGAGGCGAGUGGAAUUCCGUGGUGUAGCGGUGAAAUGCGCAGAUAUCAGGAGGAACACCAAUUGCGGAAGGCAGCUCGCUGGGACGUUACUGACGCUGAGACGCGAAGCGUGGGGAGCAACAGG
rnacentral:rRNA from 1 species